GGAUUGGUCAGACUUUCUGCAGGAGCAUGCGGAUUAGUUAGACUUUCUGUGGGUGCAGGCAGGAUCUGUCAGACUUUCUGUGGGACUGGGUGGAAUUAGUCAAAAUAUUUGCAGGAGCAGGUGGGAUUGGUCCGACUGUAUGCAGAAUCAAGGAUUGGGCAAUUUUUUGGCAUGAGCAGACGAGAUUACACAAACUUCGCAGGAGACUAGCGGAAUUGAUCGAACAUUCUGAGGAAGCGUGGCAGGAUUAAUAAAAGUUUCGGAUGCUACAAGCAGGAUUCGUCAGACGUUUUGCUGUAGCAGAUGGAUUGUUUUAAACUUGUUGCAGGGGCAGCUGGGAUUAGUCAGACUUUGUCAGGGAGAGGGCGAGAUCGCUCAGAACUCGUUUGGGAGUGGGAUUUAAAAACCAGCCUCUGUGCACACUUCUACCAGUGAGACCUCGAUGCCUCUUCAUCUCACGUCUUAUCUGAUGUGCCAACAUCCUCCUGAGAAUGACUGCUUUCACAGUCCUCGUCUUAUGUGGAAUCUUUUUUUUUUUGGACCAUUUGGUUUAAUAGCAGUCUUAGUUUAAAUAUGUAAGUUCAAGAAGAUGUGGUGUAUUUGGAUCGACGUAUAACAGUGUCUUAUAAAUCUAUAACGUCACCCGUGCUGAGAUUUUUUUUUUUUUGUGAACAUGUGUAUGUACCCAUCUAUGGUAUGUAUGUGGUGUAGAUCUACAGGUGUGUGUUAUUCCUGUAGGUUUGGUUUUUAUUUCGCGUGUGCCGGGAGAGCACAGCCUAUCGCAUCAAUCUGCCAUGAUCUUUAGCUAGAUUCAUGGGUUUUUAAGGUAGUGCGGUCGGUGUAUGUGUACGGCAGAGCUUCUGGACAAACCGUCGAGAUGAUCUCUUACUCUACAGCCCUGAUUUGUUUCAAUCUGCCUUUCCGAACUGAGCAGUAUGGUAAAAGUGACUUGACGGAAUUGUGUUAGGAUGAGAUCCGCUGUCAUGUUUUGUUAUGAACUGUCUUCACCUCCUCCCGGUGACGUGGAGGACGGCCGGUCUGUGCAUUCGCUGUACGGUUUGUUCUCAUCAGAGUUCUUCACCUCACCGUACUGUAUAUUUUGUGGUGUGUUCCACUGCUCUCGCGCAUUCAUCCUCACGAAGACUGAAACAUCCAGGUCUGUAGUUGGAACACAAUCUGAGACUGUACUUACGCUCGUCACUGGGAUGGUAUCCUCAAGGGCACAUCCUCGGUAUCUACCAUCUUGUCUUUCACUUAAAAAGUGAAUGUUUUUAAAUGUACCUUUAAAACUCGUGUUGCGUAAUUGGAGCACCGCUGUACCUUUCCAAAUGUGCAUUGUACUCACUGUUGAAGCUCCAGGCAAAAGAUAUACUCUGUAUGAAAGGUACUGAAGGUGUAUCCUUGAUGGUUUUUACAGUCGGUACAGUUUAGUCAUUUUUGUUUGUUUGUUUGUCUUUUAUGUCGAAAGUUAAAUGAACAGUUUGGCCAAAAAUGAAAUGUACACUUUUCACCUUUACCCCAAAUGUACUCGAUCAUCCAGGGCAUGUUUGGUGUUUGACGUUUACUCGACUUAAAAGACUUUUUGGGACGUGGUGGUGCAGUGCUCAAGGCUCUAGGCUACUACUCAGAAGGUAAUGAGUUUAAAUCGCAGCACCGACACACACUCACGGUCGGGUCCUCGAGCAAGACCUUUAACCAUUAAUUGCUCAGACGGCUCCCGUCUGAACUGUAGAUCAGCUAAUGAGACGAUUCCGGGCUCGGCGAUAACGUUUAUAAACAUGUAAACGACUCCACGGAGAAGAUGAUAUACAAAUUCAAUUGGAACUGCAUUAUCUUGAAAAUCACUUAGGCCACGCCUCCUACUCGAAUCCGAUGCCCAGAGUGAUCUCAAACUUUGCCGAAAAGGAGAGAUUCUUGCUUCGGUUUGGCCAUGUCAAUGUUUGUUAUUUUCGUUUGUUACUCAUCAUCCGUUUGUACAUUUUGAGUUCAGUUUAAUGAUGCAAGUAUAUGAUGAUUUUUUUUGGGGGGGGGCGGGGUUUGCACAACGCUAUCUUCAGCCACCAAUCUCCUUGGCUCAGUAACUACAAUUGUGGUAAUCGGGACAUCGUGUCAGUUUUCAUUUUUGGUGAAGUAUCUUGUUGGUUAUAACAUGGAUGUGUACUAUCAGUGUCCCUUCUCCUGUUCUCACUCAGACCAAACUGCUAACAGAGAGACGUGUGUUUAGUCCACCCUCUUUGUCUCUUGGUGAUUGGAUUGCAUGUGAUUAGUGUGGGCCUUCUUUUCAUACGAUGCACUUUAUCCAGUCUUUGAUGUUGUGGGUGACUGACAAUAGAUGUAUAUUUGUUUGUGUGUGUGUGAGAGAGAGCGAGAGAGAGAGAGAAAAUGUGUGCAUUUGAAACAGAACGGAAGUGAACGCCAACUCCUACUACAGACUACUCGGCUACUAUUACAGCGGAACGCACACCGUUCCUCACAAUCCAAAUACUCUCCGUUUGGUGUCCUUCAGGUGUUCUUCCUUCUUCUCUACACCCAACAGUUGGUCGUUUCUACUGUUUUUAUUUCAAACGGAUUCUAUGCAACUUGAGGUUGUUGGGUGUUUUUUGUUUUUUUUUUUUCCCCCCCUAAAUCUCUGGGUAGCUGGUAGGUUUUAGCUGGAAUGCAUGUGCGAGUUCCUCCUCAGGUCCUUCAGCGAGGAACCACAUCAGAGUUGCUGCUGUUUCAAGCAAAUAAUCUCUUGGUUUUAGGGUAAGAGGUAAUAGGUGUGUAUGUGUGUGUGUGUACGUUUGUGCACGUGUGUGUGUGUCUUAAAAAAAAAACAAAAAAUCAGUAAAUAAAAGUUUCUAAGUCAGUUGGACCUUGUUGAGCUUGCAGGUUUCUUUAACUUGAUCUUCAGGAGCCUGAAACAGAGGUAUGGUGUUAUGUAGUUAAUGGAGCGAGUGGUUACGCUGUACAAAAGGAUUUCAUCCGGAAGAUGUAAAGCAGAGCUGUAACAAAGCAAUUUCCGAAGUGAAAUACUGUACCAUUGAUGUAAAUGGAAAGAUUAUUUUAAAUCCUUGUAAAUAAAACUGUACAAAAAGAGCGAACGUGAGAUGUUAAUAUCAGUCUGCGAUGCAGGAGAAUAUAGAUCUGUAUAUCGGUGAAUAAAUCUUGUGCUGUA
ensembl:lncRNA